rnacentral:rRNA from 1 species
CCUACGGGAGGCAGCAGUGGGGAAUAUUGGGCACUGGGCGCAAGCCUGACCCAGCAACGCCGCGUGAAGGAAGAAGGCUUUCGGGUUGUAAACUUCUUUUGUCAGGGACGAAGCAAGUGACGGUACCUGACGCAUAAGCCACGGCUAACUACGUGCCAGCAGCCGCGGUAAUACGUAGGUGGCAAGCGUUAUCCGGAUUUACUGGGUGUAAAGGGCGUGUAGGCGGGGAAGCAAGUCAGAUGUGAAAACCACGGGCGCAACCUGUGGCCUGCAUUUGAAACUGUUGUUAUUGAGUGCGGGAGAGGCAAUCGGAAUUCCGGGUGUAGCGGUGAAAUGCGUAGAUAGACGGAAGAACACCAGUGGCGAAGGCGGCUCUCUGGUCUGCAACUGACGCUGAGGCUCGAAAGCAUGGGUAGCGAACAGGAUUAGAUACCCGGGUAGUC